CGUGUCUAGAGGCCGGCCAGCCUGGUUGUGUUCAGUCACAAAUAUUCAUACGAACAAGACAAAGGCUCACGCCUCUCCAUACAAACACGUAUGAGGUCCACAACUGUGCUGUUUCAAAGGCACGUCCCUGCUCUGCCUGGGAGUAAAUGACCAAAAUAAGUGACUGUAGGCACGGCUGAAUAGACCGAUGAAGAUUCACACGACGACAACACACGCUGCCAAAGAAAGGUCCUCCUGGAGCAUCUUCACCAUGGACUCCAGCUUGGUGACCUUCCUCUCCAGCCCUAUGUGGCCCUCACUGUGGAUGAGAAAGAAACACAUAGCAGGACUUCCACAUACAUAGCGGAUACUCAUAUUCAAUUAUGAGUGAACACCAUACCACCCACUGGUUUACUGUUCACUCUCUACAUUCAUUCAUUGGUUUCUGCUCAUCUUGUACACACGGGUUACAUCUCUUCUGCUUCUCUACCACUGAUGCACUGUAUCCUGUAUUGCCUGUACAUUUGACACAUGCUCCACAUCUAUUCAUCCAUUUCAUUUUAUUUAUUGGUAUAUUUGGUACAUUAAUAAAACAUCCCUGUAAAUUC